CUGAAAUCUAUCCUCUCUCUUAACACUCUCUCAUUUUCUCAUUCUUCCACCAAAGAUCAAACACAUUUUCUCUCUCAAUUCUCUUACUAAAAUUCGAGAUUCAAGGGCCUUCUUCCAAGCUUUUCUUCCACUUUUGAUUCUCGAAACCUUCAAGACAUCUUCUAAGUGUUCUUGAGUAUAAGACUUUUUUUCUUUAACAUUCACCCACUAAGAACACAUAAGGAAAUCAGUGAAACAGGAAAACAACAGCAUUUUGAGGAUGGGACGUUAAAUCGUCAAAUAGUUCAUUUUGUCAUCAUAAUGUAAUUGAUUUUGAAACAUGUAAACUUACUAUGAUGUAACUUUUUCAAUUAUAUUUAUGAUGGUUGUAUUUACUUUGAGCA